AUACGGAGGGUGCAAGCGUUACUCGGAAUCACUGGGCGUAAAGCGCGCGCAGGCGGUCUUUUAAGUUGGAUGUGAAAGCCUACGGCUCAACCGUAGAACUGCAUCCAAAACUAUUAGACUAGAGUGCGGGAGAGGAAGAUGGAAUUAGUUGUGUAGGGGUAAAAUCCGUAGAGAUAACUAGGAAUACCAAAAGCGAAGGCAAUCUUCUGGAACACUACUGACGCUGAGGCGCGAAAGCGUGGGGAGCAAACGGGAUUAGAAACCCUAGUAGUCC
rnacentral:rRNA from 1 species